AUUGAACGCUGGCGGCAGGCCUAACACAUGCAAGUCGAACGAGUGGCGGACGGGUGAGUAAUGUCUGGGAAACCGCCCGAUGGAGGGGGAUAAAUACUGGAAACGGUAGCUAAUACCGCAUACCAUCGGAUGUGCCCAGAUGGGAUUAGCUCGUAGGUGGGGUAACGGCUCACCUAGGCGACGAUCCCUAGCUGGUCUGAGAGGAUGACCGGCCAAACGGGAACUGAGACACGGGCCAGACUCCUACGGGAGGCAGCGGUGGGUAAUAUUGCACAAUGGGCGCAAGCCUGAUGCAGCCAUGCCGCGGGUAUGAGGAAGGCCUUCGGUUUGUAAAGUACGUUCAGCGAGGAGGCGUUACUCGAAGAAGAAGCACCGGCUAACUCCGUGCCAGCAGCCGCGGUAAUAC
rnacentral:rRNA from 1 species